UCGUCAGCUCGUGUCGUGAGAUGUUGGGUUAAGUCCCGCAACGAGCGCAACCCUUGCCUUUAGUUGCCAUCAUUAAGUUGGGCACUCUAGAGGGACUGCCAGGGAUAACCUGGAGGAAGGUGGGGAUGACGUCAAAUCAUCAUGCCCCUUAUGCUUAGGGCUACACACGUGCUACAAUGGGUGGUACAGAGGGCAGCCAAGUCGUGAGGCGGAGCUAAUCCCUUAAAGCCAUUCUCAGUUCGGAUUGUAGGCUGAAACUCGCCUACAUGAAGCUGGAGUUACUAGUAAUCGCAGAUCAGAAUGCUGCGGUGAAUGCGUUCCCGGGUCUUGUACACACCGCCCGUCACACCAUGGGAGUUGGGGGCGCCCGAAGCCGGUUAGCUAACCUUUUGGAAGCGGCCAUCGAAGGUGAAACCAAUAACUGGGGUGAAGUCGUAACAAGGUAGCCGUA
rnacentral:rRNA from 1 species